rnacentral:rRNA from 1 species
AUUGAACGCUGGCGGCAUGCCUUACACAUGCAAGUCGAACGGCAGCACGGGGGCAACCCUGGUGGCGAGUGGCGAACGGGUGAGUAAUACAUCGGAACGUGCCCCGUAGCGGGGGACAACCAGUCGAAAGACUGGCUAAUACCGCAUACGCUCCACGGAGGAAAGCAGGGGAUCGCAAGACCUUGCACUAUGGGAGCGGCCGAUGCCCGAUUAGCUAGUUGGUGAGGUAAAGGCUCACCAAGGCAACGAUCGGUAGCUGGUCUGAGAGGACGACCAGCCACACUGGGACUGAGACACGGCCCAGACUCCUACGGGAGGCAGCAGUGGGGAAUUUUGGACAAUGGGCGCAAGCCUGAUCCAGCCA